UCUCUGCUGUGGAGUGGCACCACGUAGCAGUUUGUACGUCUGCUGUGAACCCCGGAGCUUACCCCGGGUGUGCAUGGGUACGGGCAGACUAGAGUGCAGUAGGGGAGACUGGAAUUCCUGGUGUAGCGGUGGAAUGCGCAAAUAUCAGGAGGAACACCGAUGGCGAAGGCAGGUCUCUGGGCUGUUACUGACGCUGAGGAGCGAAAGCAUGGGGAGCGAACAGGAUUAAAUACCCUGGUAGUCCAUGCCGUAAACGUUGGGCACUAGGUGUGGGGGACAUUCCACGUUUUCCGCGCCGUAUCUAACGCAUUAAGUGCCCCGCCUGGGGAGUACGGCCGCAAGGCUAAAACUCAAAGGAAUUGAGGGGGGCCCGCACAAGCGGCGGAGCAUGUGGUUUAAUUCUAUGCAACGCGAAAAACCUUACCAGGGCUUGACAUAUACCGGAUCGUUCCAAAGAUGGUUCUUCCCCUUUGGGGUCGGUAUACAGGUGGUGCAUGGUUGUCCUCAGCUCGUGUCGUGAAAUGUUGGGUUAAGUCCCGCACGAGCGCAACCUAGAUCGGGUGUAUG
rnacentral:rRNA from 1 species